UUUUUUUUUUUUUUUUUUUGACUUAUGAACAUCCACUUGUACUGGGACUAUUUGUUGAAAAAGGUCUCUGGCUGCUUUUAAGGUUUACCUUUGUCUUCGGUAUUCUAGAAUAUUCCACUAUAAUGUGUCUAGAUAGGGAUUUCCUUUAUCUUUCUUGUUAUAUCCUGUGUCUGAUGGCUUAAUGUUUUUUAUUAUUCUGGAAACUUCUCUGCCAUUUUUUCUUCAAAUAGUCUCUCUCCACAUUCUAUCUAUUAUUUCCUUUUGUAAUCUUAGUCAGUUUUAUGUAAGGCUUUCUCCUCUUGUUCUUUGUAUCUUAACUCAUAUUAUCCAGAUAGUUUAUUCUGAAUAAUUGUUUCAGGUCUAUAUUCCAGGUCACCCACUCUUUUUCACAUAAGCCCAGUCUCUUAUUUAACCCAUCCACUGAAUUUUUAAUUUCAGUAAUUUUUUGUUUUUGGAGUUCUGUUUGAUUCUUUCUUGAAUUUUCCUGGUUAUUUUUGAUUUUCUGUUGUUCUUUGCUCAUUUAUUUCCACUCUGUUUUAUUUACAUAAUUAUAUUGUUUCUGAUAAUUCCAGUAUCUUAAUUUCUUAAGAAUUAAAAAAGUUUUCCUGCUGA
rnacentral:lncRNA from 1 species